rnacentral:rRNA from 1 species
AUGGAACCAUGCCGUCAAUGUAAAUUGAAGAAACUUAUUAGCUCUUAACAUGCUGUGAAUCCUCUCGAGGAGGUGCAUUCAGGAAUGCGAAACUAGUGGUGGAUAGUUGUCAUUAGCUCGUGCUGUAAGGUGUUGAGUUACAACCCUCGUGUUUAGUUAUCUUUGUUGAGUUUGGUACCCUGAAUAGACUAUCGAUGAUAAGCCAAAGAAAGGUGAGGAUGAAGUAAAGUCAUCAUGCUCUUUAUACCCUAGGCAACACACGUGCUAUAAUGGUUGGGACAAAGAGUCGCGAUUCCGUGAGGUGAGCUAACCCUAAAAACCCAUCCUUUUGUUCGAAUUGCAAGCUAUAACUUGCUUGCAUGAAGUCAAAAUCGCUAGUAAUCAUUGAUCAGCCAUAUAGAGAUGAA